rnacentral:rRNA from 1 species
UACGAGAGCCUCGAGCGUUAUCCGGAAUUAUUGGGCGUAAAGGGUGCGUAGGUUGUUCUGUUAGUCUUUUGUGAAAGCCCCGAGCUUAACUUGGGAGACGCGGGAGAAACGGCAGAACUAGAAAGUGCGAGAGGCGUACGGAACUCAUGGUGUAGGGGUGAAAUCCGUUGAUAUCAUGGGGAACACCAAAUGCGAAGGCAGUACGCUGGCGCAUAUUUGACACUGAAGCACGAAAGCGUGGGUAGCGAAU